GACGAACGCUGGCGGCGUGCUUAACACAUGCAAGUCGAACGGAAAGGCCCUGCUUUUGUGGGGUGCUCGAGUGGCGAACGGGUGAGUAACACGUGAGUAACCUGCCCUUGACUUGGGGAUAACUUCAGGAAACUGGGGCUAAUACCGGAUAGGAGCUCCUGCUGCAGGGUGGGGGUUGGAAAGUUUCGGCGGUUGGGGAUGGACUCGCGGCUUAUCAGCUUGUUGGUGGGGUAGUGGCUUACCAAGGCUUUGACGGGUAGCCGGCCUGAGAGGGUGACCGGCCACAUUGGGACUGAGAUACGGCCCAGACUCCUACGGGAGGCAGCAGUGGGGAAUAUUGCACAAUGGGCGGAAGCCUGAUGCAGCAACGCCGCGUGCGGGAUGACGGCCUUCGGGUUGUAAACCGCUUUCGCCUGUGACGAAGCGUGAGUGACGGUAAUGGGUAAAGAAGCACCGGCUAACUACGUG
rnacentral:rRNA from 1 species